CCUCCUUCUGCUGACACGUUCGCCUUGGCGCUCUGGGCCCCUGACAGAGCAGGGACUGACCCUCAGUUGCUGCCCUUGCCUUAUAACUCCUGGAGACAGUCAAAGGUCAUGACGGGGUGGCAGCAGACAGCACUCCACAGAUGGACGAUGACUAGCUGUGCUCCUGUCACAUCAGCAUGCGGUGGUCUUCUCCUGAGAGAGUGAGGGAGAUGAGAUGAGAGGGAGAGUGCGAGCGAGCGAGCGAGGAGGAGACGGAGAGAGACCCCUUCCCCAGGUCUUAGUCAGUGGAAAACAUCACUGGUCCACUUCCUCACCCUUAAACCACUGUGACCUCUGAGGAGACAUGACUGCAUGCCAUGUUUUGUUCAGUCGAUCAGCUGUUCAGUUAUUCUCGUCCUGAGGUUCAAGUCACCCGGCAGAGCAGAACAUUGAUCCACCAAUCGAAGAUGUGGGUUGUGCAUGGCACGUCUCCUCC
rnacentral:lncRNA from 1 species